UACGUAGGGUGCAAGCGUUGUCCGGAAUUAUUGGGCGUAAAGAGCUCGUAGGCGGUUUGUCGCGUCUGCUGUGAAAACUGGAGGCUCAACCUCCAGCCUGCAGUGGGUACGGGCAAACUAGAGUGCGGUAGGGGAGAUUGGAAUUCCUGGUGUAGCGGUGAAAUGCGCAGAUAUCAGGAGGAACACCGGUGGCGAAAGCGGGUCUCUGGGCCGAUACUGACGCUGAGGAGCGAAAGCGUGGGGAGCGAACAGG
rnacentral:rRNA from 1 species